UACGUAGGGUGCAAGCGUUAAUCGGAAUUACUGGGCGUAAAGCGCGCGUAGGCGGUUAAUCAAGUCAGGGGUGAAAUCCUGAGGCUCAACCUCAGAAUUGCCUUUGAAACGGUUUAACUGGAGUGUCGGAGGGGAUAGCGGAAUUGCUAAUGUAGCAGUGAAAUGCGUAGAUAUUAGCAGGAACACCGGUGGCGAAGGCGGCUAUCUGGACGACAACUGACGCUGAGGCGCGAAAGCGUGGGGAUCAAACAGG
rnacentral:rRNA from 1 species